rnacentral:rRNA from 1 species
UACGGAGGGGGCUAGCGUUGUUCGGAAUUACUGGGCGUAAAGCGCUCGUAGGCGGAUUGGUCAGUCAGAGGUGAAAGCCCAGGGCUCAACCCUGGAACUGCCUUUGAUACUGCCAGUCUAGAGUUCGGGAGAGGUGAGCGGAAUUCCGAGUGUAGAGGUGAAAUUCGUAGAUAUUCGGAGGAACACCAGUGGCGAAGGCGGCCUCCUGGCCUAAUAUUGACGCUGAGGUGCGAAAGCGUGGGGAGCAAACAGGAUUAGAUACCCGUGUAGUCC